GGCUUGGUGGCAGAGUGGUUAUGUAUCUGUGAAUUAUAGGACCCCGAAAUGAUUGCUUCUCCAGAUAAUGUCUGUUCAAUUCGGGCCCAAGCCU